rnacentral:lncRNA from 1 species
CUAGAUUCAAGGAGUCAUUUGUGUUUUCCUGGACCUCCUUUGAUCUACAUAUGUGUUCUCGAUGUCCUUCAAAUGGCAUUUCUCUUUGUCAUGGCCUUGUACAUUGAUGUUGACUGCACCCAGCUUCCAUGAUCCUGGGCUUAGUCCAUUGGUAAAUCUCUUUCUAAUUUCUCUGUUUCUGUUGAGGGUACAAACAUUCUUCUAGUUGCUUCAAUUCACAAAGUAGAUGCUAUUCUUGACUUGUCACUCUCGUUGCACAUAUUCAAUCAGUUAUCAGAUCUCAUUCUAUUACCAUAACAUCUCUCAGAUACCUCCCUUUCUGCCUACCCACACAGCCACCAACAUCCUCUAAACUAUUAUAAUAGUCUCUUGAUUAGACUCUCUGCCUUGAAUUUUCCCCACUCUAAUCCUUCCUCCACACAGCUGCCACAGUUAUUUCCCUAGAUUUCAGGUCUAUAUAUGUCACCCUUGUCACUUAAUUCCAGUGCCUCCCUAUUACUUCUAGGAUCAAACUUCUCCUAUGGCAUGUGCAUUUUUCACAACUUGAUCCCUUCUUGGUCUUCAUAAAUAUAUAUAUAUGAAGAAUUUAUAUAUAUAUAUAUAUAUAUAUAUAUAUAUAUAUAUAAAUUCUUCCAUUACGGUCCAGUCAUGCCAGGCUUCUAGCUAUUCCUCACACGUGAUAAGGAAGGCUUAGUUUCCUAUCUCUGUUCCUUUGUACCAGCUAUCUCUCAUUCCUGGAAUGCUCUCCCUUCUCAGCUUCACCUGUUAGAAAGUUUGGCUACCUUUGAGGUUCAUUUCAAGCAUCACUUAAAAAAAGUUUUGAGUCUCCCUAUUUUUCCCAGGCUGGAAAUAAAGGGGUCAUUCAUGACCCCAUCCCAAUGUUGAUCCACACAAGAACUUACUCAGUUUCCAGCUUAUACCAUUUUAUCCUUUCUUAGGCAAUGUGAUGUCCUCCUCCCCCAGGGGUUAACCAUUUUGAUGCUGGAUUUGGUACAAUCACCUGACCAUAACCCACUGAGGAUCAGAACUCUCAAGGGAUCUGUCAGUCUCAGUCUUCCCAGGAUUUGGCAUUACAAGAGUUUGCCACCAUACUUGGCUUUAAUUGUCAUCAUCUGCAGUCCUCCAGCUUCUAGGACCUUCAUCUCUCAAUUAUCCUAUUUCGGAUCUGGAGUCGCCAAUGGAUUAUAUAACAAAGGAAAGACCAGCUUAAACAAAAGUGGACAUAUUCAUUUUGACUGA